UGGAAGUGAUGACACAGAGCUAAUUGGGUGUGUUAGGAUGGAGUGUGUGUGUGAGGGAGGGGAUGGAGGCAGGUCUGGGGGUGUCUGGGGAGUGUGUGAUUGAUGUGGUGGGAUGUGAUGUGAUGUGAUGUGAGGGGGCUCUCGUGGGGGCACUGAUGGCAGUGCUGAGCCAGGAGUGCAUCUGAGGCGUGUUGGGCACCUCCGGGGCCCCUCUGCAACACUGCCUGUGAUUAAAGCCCCAAAAAUGCCCACCAGGAGAGCCCCAGGCAGCCCAAAUCUCUGCCAGGGUCACCAGAGAUCCUGUGAUCUGAUCUCA